GAUGAACGCUGGCGGCGUGCUUAACACAUGCAAGUCGAACGGAAAGGCUCCUGCUUGCAGGGGUACUCGAGUGGCGAACGGGUGAGUAACACGUGGGUGAUCUGCCCUGCACUUCGGGAUAAGCCUGGGAAACUGGGUCUAAUACCGGAUAGGACGAUGGUUUGGAUGCCAUUGUGGAAAGUUUUUCGGUGUGGGAUGAGCUCGCGGCCUAUCAGCUUGUUGGUGGGGUAAUGGCCUACCAAGGCGUCGACGGGUAGCCGGCCUGAGAGGGUGUACGGCCACAUUGGGACUGAGAUACGGCCUAGACUCCUACGGGAGGCAGCAGUGGGGAAUAUUGCACAAUGGGCGCAAGCCUGAUGCAGCGACGCCGCGUGGGGGAUGACGGCCUUCGGGUUGUAAACUCCUUUCGCUAGGGACGAAGCGCAAGUGACGGUACCUGGAGAAGAAGCACCGGCUAACUACGUG
rnacentral:rRNA from 1 species